GAAAUGCGAUAAGUAAUGUGAAUUGCAGAAUUCAGUGAAUCAUCGAAUCUUUGAACGCACAAUGCGCCCGCCAGUAUUCUGGCGGGCAUGCCUGUCCGAGCGUCAUUUCAACCAUCAAGCCCCCGGGCUUGUGUUGGGGACCUGCGGCUGCCCGCAGGCCCUGAAAACCAGUGGCGGGCUCGCUGUCACACCGAGCGUAGUAGCAAUCACCUCGCUCAGGGCGUGCUGCGGGUUCCGGCCGUUAAACAGCCUUACAAAACCCAAGGUUGACCUCGGAUCAGGUAGGAAGACCCGCUGAACUUAAGC
rnacentral:misc_RNA from 1 species